rnacentral:rRNA from 1 species
UUGACAUACUAAGAACUUUCCAGAGAUGGAUUGGUGCCUUCGGGAACUUAGAUACAGGUGCUGCAUGGCUGUCGUCAGCUCGUGUCGUGAGAUGUUGGGUUAAGUCCCGCAACGAGCGCAACCCUUUUCCUUAUUUGCCAGCGGGUCAUGCCGGGAACUUUAAGGAUACUGCCAGUGACAAACUGGAGGAAGGCGGGGACGACGUCAAGUCAUCAUGGCCCUUACGGCCAGGGCUACACACGUGCUACAAUGGUCGGUACAAAGGGUUGCUACCUCGCGAGAGGAUGCUAAUCUCAAAAAGCCGAUCGUAGUCCGGAUCGCAGUCUGCAACUCGACUGCGUGAAGUCGGAAUCGCUAGUAAUCGCGGAUCAGAAUGCCGCGGUGAAUACGUUCCCGGGCCUUGUACACACCGCCCGUCACACCAUGGGAGUUUGUUGCACCAGAAGUAGGUAGUCUAAUCGCAAGGAGGACGCUUACCACGGUGUGGCCGAUGACUGGGGUGAAGUCGUAACAAGGUAGGCGUAGAUGA